rnacentral:lncRNA from 1 species
UGAUCACACGUUGGCGGAAACGACAUGCGAAUUUGGUAUUUUGUUUUGAUGGAGUAGAAAUAGGGAUAUAUAGUAAUUAUGCGAUGAUAGCACUAGCGUCAAUAAUUUACGUUAAACUUUAGGCUAAAGGAACUUUCGUGUGUUUCAUUGUCUUUCUUUUGUAGCGGCAAGUCCCUGUUCAAGGGGACUGGUUUGUGGCUUCAAGGAGGAGCGGAUCUGUCCGAACCCCGAAAGGCCAUGCAGUUGUACAUGUGGUCAUCCUGCUCCUCAACCUUCGCCAUGCGGUGGGGCAAUAAGCAUUGGAGUUGCCUCUGAAAGCUAUAUAGAAGACGACCUCGGUUUGUCCCGUUGUCCGACGCACAGUUGCGGCUGCGACCAGAAAGUUACUUGUUUGCAUACUGUAAACUCGUGCAAAUGCAAAUGCGCGACAAAAUAUGAACACUGCUCGCGUCCUUGGAAAUCUACUUGCCCCGUCGUCUAUUGCCGUGGCGAGCAUACAAAAAGAUGUUUGUGCACCUGCGUUAAUCCGCCGCCUAGCCAUUCCCCGAGCCGGCCCUGCUGUAACCAAGUAAACCAAGCACCCAGACCAUAUCCAAAUUCACCUUGUUGCCAAAAUGGGGCCACAACUGCCGUAGCUCCAGUUCAAGGCCGGCCCUGCUGUCAGCCUAUUGGAGGGGGCCGUUGAUUUAUCGCAGAAAAUGCAACGAGAAAGUUCAAUAAAUCGAGACCGCAGGAAA